UCAAUUGUGGUAGCCUACACGCUAGAUCCACCUGAAACAAUACGUUCUUGGUAGGAAUCCGGCCGGUCUUGCAAGGCAAUCUACGCAGACAUCGGUGGCAAGUGCCUGGACGCGAGGAACCGGUCCAGGGCAGAGCCGACUCGAACAAACAGUGAGCCCCCGCGGCGAGGACAUGGCAUGUAGUGGAGCCGGACGACGGCGCGGACAGGACCGUAGGGGAGCCUAUGGCGGCGGUUCCUUGGACGGAGAUGGCCUGGAAGGGUGGAAUCGGUCCAGGGCGGAGCCGGCUUCGGCAAGCAUGGAGCCCCGCGGCGAGGAUGGGGCGUGCAGUGGAGCUGUACGGCGGCAGCGACUGGCGCGUGGGGAAUCCCACGACGCCGUGCAAUUGCUCCUCCACACGCUGGCGUCCGGAACCUGUCUUCGAAUCCCCAUCCGCCACCACCCAUGUAUCUCCGGCAAACGGCGCCAUCUCCCUCAUCCGAUGGGAGGAACUGAACCGCCUGCUGCCGACCCCUCUGCCAUCUCCGACGCCUUCCGAUUUGGCCGUCUCCAAGGGAGGAGAGCAAGCUACCCAUGUGCCGGGACCUCUGCCUCAGUCUGCCGUUCCAAAACGAGAAGGAUCAGCCGCCCGAGCGAAUCGGCGAUUUCCCUGAAGUCAAUCUUCUUCUUUGCUGGCCUGGGUGUGGGCACCUCCGCACUGGGACGGGGCCGAGUUCCUCCUGUAUAGAUACUCCCUACUGAACUGGGCAAACAUGUGCGCCCAGCCGUGUGACGCUGCCUGCAGCAUGGGGCGAUUUGGAUGCAGACAUGCAAGGGGCGAUGCAUACAGUCUCCAGUAUCACCAAUGUAACAAAUGUAGGAUGACUAUGCUGCACAGGAUGAUGAUUAUGAGGAGAAUCUGAAGGAAGCACUUGGGUUAUUAUUUCUAGCAACGUGAUCUCUGGCCCUUUGAUUUGUAGAUGGAUGAAUUGAUCAUGUGAGAUAUCGUCAUCCUCUUCCCUGGAUAAUUGCCCAGGCAAUAUAUUCUCUGAAGUGAAGAAGAGAUGGAGAGCCAUGAGGCUUGAAGAAAUUAGGGUGGAUCUUAUGACAUGUGCAAACACUCUAGGUAUAAUGAGAAAAAUUAUUCAA